rnacentral:rRNA from 1 species
AUUGAACGCUGGCGGCAGGCCUAACACAUGCAAGUCGAACGAGUGGCGGACGGGGGAGUAAUGUCUGGGAAACUGCCUGAAGGAGGGGGAGAACGACUGGAAACGGUAGCUAAAACCGCAUACCAUCGGAUGUGCCCAGAUGGGCUUAGCUAGGAGGUGGGGGAAAGGCUCACCUAGGCGACGAUCCCUAGCUGGUCUGAGAGGAUGACCAUCCACACUGGCACUGCGACACGGUCCAGACUCCUACGGGAGGCAGCGUUGGGGAAUAUUGCACAAUGGGCGCAAGCCUGAUGCAUCCAUGCCGCGUGUAUGAAGAAGGCCUUCGGGUUGUAAAGUCCUUUCAGCGGGGAGGCGUUACCCGCAGAAGAAGCACCGGCUAACUCCGUGCCAGCAGCCGCGGUAAUUC